AUACGAAGGGGGCUAGCGUUGUUCGGAAUUACUGGGCGUAAAGCGCGCGUAGGCGGAUUGGUCAGUUAGGGGGGAAAUCCCAGGGCUUAACCCUGGAACUGCCUCUAAUACUGCCAGUCUUGAGUUCGGGAGAGGUGAGUGGAAUUCCUAGUGUAGAGGUGAAAUUCGUAGAUAUUAGGAAGAACACCAGUGGCGAAGGCGGCUCACUGGCUCGAUACUGACGCUGAGGUGCGAAAGCGUGGGGAGCAAACAGGAUUAGAAACCCCGGUAGUCC
rnacentral:rRNA from 1 species